rnacentral:lncRNA from 1 species
GAAGCGAAGAGCGUCAGGUUGUGUCGACACGUGUGCGGAUGGCUCGCGAUGAAGCCAGCUCUCCGGUGCCGCUUUUUCUUUCUCAUUUGUGCACUGACGUGCUCGGCUUACAGUGGCGCCGAGGAGAGCCUCUGCACCAAAGGGGCGAUAUGCGCAAGAGGCCUCUUACUUUCGAUCGGCGAGGAGCCCCGUCCGGUGGGCGUGUGGGCGGAGAGCGGCAGCCGGGUGAGGUUGUCGGCCCAGGAGUAGAGAUUUUCAGGGACCUCGGAAGGGAAAUGGCUCAACUUCACAGCAACUCAGCGUGGUUCUGAGUUCUGCGUUUCCUCCGAGACAUUCCCCGAGAAGGAGUUUUGUGAUAAGGAUCGGGACUGGCUGGAUCUCUGGAGUGACCCUGAGACCAAGUGGAAUCUCGCACCUGAUAACGUGGUUUCCGGAUGCAGCCAGUACUCCCUUCUUCGUCUCUCUUUGGAUCUGCACGACUGGCCCACCAAGCUGCUCUGGCGGCCGGGCGAACGCGCCGAGAGCUUGCGCUUGCUUUUAUGGCGAACUAGAAGUGUUCAUUGGAACGUGUAGGUCCAUUUAAGUUCUCCAGGAAAGCAGAUUCGCAACUCCCUUAUGACUUGACAUUUCGGAGUGUGUCUGAAGAUGGCUCCUGCGUGGUGACGAGCGCCAGCCUCGACGUGUCCCGCACUUGUCAGAUGAAUCAAACAGGAAUAUUGCGCAUUUCCAUUGAAAGCCUUGACGACAACUUUAAAUGGACUCCGAGCUACUUUUCCUUCAACUGCGAGGAUGGCGCAGGAUGGCAAACCGGCUCAACGACUUCAAGCCCUGAUGACAACAGCACUGAAGGUAUUAGUUGGUACAUCGCAGCGGGCGUGGGGUCCGUCAUCCUCAUCGCUUUGGUCGCGGUGGUCGCGGUGGUCGCCCGGAGAACCAAGGCCUGUCAGGGUGACCCCGUCCGCCCUCCAGCUGCCCUCCCGUCGCCCUCUCCGGCGGGGACGCAGGAGCCCCCUCCUCCUCCUCCUCUUCUUCCUCCUCCUCCUCCUCUUCUUCAUCCUCCUCCUCCUCCUCUUCUUCCUCCUCCUCCUCCUCCUCUUCUUCCUCCUCCUACUCCUCCUCCUCCUCUUCCUCAUCCUCCUUCUCUUCUUCCUCUUCCUCCUCCUCUUCUUCCUCCUCCUCUGAUGCUGCUUCCUCCGGGAUACUGGUUCGCUCCACCAGAUGGCCAGGAAAGUGCUUACAAUCACUACGAGAACGAGGAGGAGGAGGAGCACGAGUACGAGUAUGUUGACGUGGACACCUCGAGGACCCAGCUGGCCAGGGAGGAGGGGGACGCCCGCGACAUCGUUAACUCCAUCUAUUUUUCUGACUAAUUGAGUGGCAGGAUGUAGAUGGGGAUGCCAAUGAGGGGAGCGAAUUCAAGAUGGGUUUAGAGCAGGGAAGUUCUUUCUCUCUCUCUCUUGUUUAUUUUGUUUUUGUUUACCGCCCGUGUCGCAUUACGCGGUUCAUAACACGACAUCACCGAACUAGAUACUACUCUUACAGAGCAAUGAGUCCUGUUUUUCUCUCACGCUCUCGCCCUUCCCCCUUCUCUCUCUCUCUCUCUCUCUCUCUCUCUCUCUCUCUCUCUCUCUCUCUCUCUCUCUCUCUCUCUCUCUCUCUCUCUCUCUCUCUCUCUCUCUCUCUCUUUCUCACUCUCUCUCAGCACUUAGAAUAAGCAUAUGGUUUGAAUCUUCAAAAUGAUUGUUUAUAUCAAAAUAAACCACAUAAAGUAGCUGAUCCUCUCCCAGCUCUAGAGGUUUCUUUGUUCACUGCGAAUGCUGAUACGGCGGUGCAUACGAUUUGAGUGAUCAUUUUAGUGACUGUGUCAGGGAGGAAAUUGAUUUGCAAGAUUUUAAUUUUCUUUGAUCUACGAGAUGAAAAAAUUGACAUGAUUUCCCAAUCUAUUUUUCGCUUUCUCUUCUCUUACUCUAACAAAGAUAUCUCUCUCCAUUUUUUAUAUCUCUCUUGCGUCCUGGUUUAUUAUCGUCUGCCUUUCCUGUUGACGCACAAGCAGGACGACGUAGGGAUGUGUGUGUGUGCUCACGCACAUGCUUUUAUAGACAGACAUAAAAGUGUGCAUGCACAUAUGUAUUCAUACAUAUU